CCUACGGGUGGCAGCAGUGAGGAAUAUUGGUCAAUGGACGCAAGUCUGAACCAGCCAUGCCGCGUGCAGGAAGACGGCUCUAUGAGUUGUAAACUGCUUUUGUACGAGGGUAAACGCAGAUACGCGUAUCUGUUUGAAAGUAUCGUACGAAUAAGGACCGGCUAAUUCCGUGCCAGCAGCCGCGGUAAUACGGAGGAUUCAAGCGUUAUCCGGAUUUAUUGGGUUUAAAGGGUGCGUAGGCGGUCGGUUAAGUUAGAGGUGAAAUCCCGAGGCUCAACUUCGGAAUUGCGUCUGAUACUGGUCGGCUAGAGAGUAGUGGCGGUAGGCGGAAUGUGUGGUGUAGCGGUGAAAGGCUUAGAGAUCAUACAGAACACCGAUUGCGAAGGCAGCUUACCAAGCUACUUCUGACGUUGAGGCACGAAGGCGUGGGGAGCAAACAGGAUUAGAUACCCCUGUAGUC
rnacentral:rRNA from 1 species